CCGGCCUGCGCUGUUCUCUUCUCCUGGCUUAUGUAAGCACCGCCUCAUCCUACAUCCGUAUCCAGUGUGAGCCCGGGAUACCAAAAGGCAACUUCCGAUUGGUUGUUUUUGUGUGGGUCCAACAAAGAGAGUUAUGAGGACCUUUCUGGUAGCGCAUUCUUUCGUGCGUGGUGACUGGGACGGGACACAGGUGACACACCCCUUCCCCACUCACCCACUUAAAAAUGCUCCGACCGGCCGGCCAUUCCCAUGGCUUCUCCUCGCCCGCUACCCCGAGUCCGUCCCCUCUGCGCUCUCUUCCUCUCUCUUCUCUUUCUCGUUUUCCUCCUCCCAUGGGCGGCCGGCUCUUCUCCGCUGGAGUCAUCCCACCUAUAUCGAGUCCUCCACGUCCAAGAACGGGAGCGCUUACCGCCCGCCGUCCAGGUGGCCGCCGCCCGUGGCCUUCUCGCCCGCCUCCUCCCAUUCCACGUUUCCAGCUUCGAAUUCGAGAUCGUUUCCAAGGACUACGCGUUUCUGCAAUUCUUGAAAGGUUUGUGUUGAAUCGAGGCUUUAUGGGUUUGAUUCUUGA